rnacentral:rRNA from 1 species
UCACUCCUACGGGGGGCAGCAGUGGGGAAUAUUGGGCAAUGGGUGCAAGCCUGACCCAGCAACGCCGCGUGAAGGAAGAAGGCUUUCGGGUUGUAAACUUCUUUUCUCAGGGACGAAGAAAGUGACGGUACCUGAGGAAUAAGCCACGACUAACUACGUGCCAGCAGCCGCGGUAAUACGUAGGUGGCAAGAGUUAUCCGGAUUUACUGGGUGUAAAGGGCGUGUAGGCGGGACUGGAAGUCAGAUGUGAAAA